rnacentral:rRNA from 2 species
CGCCGAUAGAUCGGCCCGCGUCUGAUUAGCUAGUUGGUGAGGUAAAGGCUCACCAAGGCGACGAUCAGUAGCUGGUCUGAGAGGAUGAUCAGCCACAUUGGGACUGAGACACGGCCCAAACUCCUACGGGAGGCAGCAGUGGGGAAUAUUGGACAAUGGGCGCAAGCCUGAUCCAGCCAUGCCGCGUGAGUGAUGAAGGCCUUAGGGUUGUAAAGCUCUUUUGUCCGGGAAGAUAAUGACUGUACCGGAAGAAUAAGCCCCGGCUAACUUCGUGCCAGCAGCCGCGGUAAUACGAAGGGGGCUAGCGUUGCUCGGAAUCACUGGGCGUAAAGGGCGCGUAGGCGGACUUUUAAGUCGGAGGUGAAAGCCCAGGGCUCAACCCUGGAAUUGCCUUCGAUACUGGGAGUCUUGAGUUCGGAAGAGGUUGGUGGAACUGCGAGUGUAGAGGUGAAAUUCGUAGAUAUUCGCAAGAACACCAGUGGCGAAGGCGGCCAACUGGUCCGAUACUGACGCUGAGGCGCGAAAGCGUGGGGAGCAAACAGGAUUAGAUACCCUGGUAGUCCCCGCCGUCAACGAUGAAUGCCAGCCGUUGGGGAGCAU